rnacentral:lncRNA from 1 species
AGAAGUGCUACAUUAAGAAUUACAAGAGCAGGACCCAAAUCCAGAUCCCAUCGUUCCCAGCCGAAGGCAGUUUGCACCCUCACACCUGGGCAGGACUCACGGAGCUGGGUACCCACUGUAUGUGGCAGUCAGCUGAGCUCAGGAGCCUGGAAAGUGGGCCGUGAUGAGCACAGCAGGCAUGCGUCGUCUGGGUCAGGCAGCAUGCCUAGGGACUUACACACUGCCUCAUUCAGUCCCUGCAAAACUCUUAUGAGCAGCGGGUGCAAUCUCACUCCAGAGGCAGAGACGCAACAACACAGUGAUAAGGAUGUGGACUCUAGCCUGGCACGCUGACGUACACCUGUAAUCUCAGGAGGCUGAGGCAGGAGGAUCCCAAGUUUAAGGCCAGCCUGGGCAACUUGACAAGACCCCCAUCUCUUUAAAAGAGCUAUAAAGUGACCUGUCUGGCUCCCACCACUGCCUCUUCUACCUCUCCCAAG